UGGGNGUAAAGCGAGCGCAGACGGUUAUUUAAGCAGGAUGUGAAANCCCUGGGCUCAACCUGGGAACUGCGUUCUGAACUGGAUGGCUAGAGUGUGUCAGAGGGGGGUAGAAUUCCACGUGUAGCAGUGAAAUGCGUAGAGAUGUGGAGGAAUACCGAUGGCGAAGGCAGCCCCCUGGGGUAACACUGACGUUCAUGCUNGAAAGCGUGGGUAGCAAACAGGAUUAGAUACCCUGGUAGUCCACGCCCUAAACGAUGUCGAUUAGCUGUUGGGCAACUUGAUUGCUUAGUAGCGUAGCUAACGCGUGAAAUCGACCGCCUGGGGAGUACGGUCGCAAGAUUAAAACUCAAAGGAAUUGACGGGGACCCGCACAAGCGGUGGAUGAUGUGGAUUAAUUCGAUGCAACGCGAAGAACCUUACCUGGUCUUGACAUGUACGGAACCUUCCAGAGACGGAAGGGUGCCUUCGGGAGCCGUAACACAGGUGCUGCAUGGCUGUCGUCAGCUCGUGUCGUGAGAUGUUGGGUUAAGUCCCGCAACGAGCGCAACCCUUGUCAUUAGUUGCCAUCAUUUAGUUGGGCACUCUAAUGAGACUGCCGGUGACAAACCGGAGGAAGGUGGGGAUGACGUCAAGUCCUCAUGGCCCUUAUGACCAGGGCUUCACACGUCAUACAAUGGUCGGUACAGAGGGUAGCCAAGCCGCGAGGUGGAGCCAAUCCCAGAAAACCGAUNGUAGUCCGGAUUGCACUCUGCAACUCGAGUGCAUGAAGUCGGAAUCGCUAGUAAUCGCAGGUCAGCAUACUGCGGUGAAUACGUUCCCGGGUCUUGUACACACCGCCCGUCACACCAUGGGAGUGGGGGAUACCAGAAGCAGGUAGGGUAACCGCAAGGAGCCCGCUUGCCA
rnacentral:rRNA from 1 species